GCCGCCGUAGCUCAAUUGGCAAGGGCAUCGAACGCGCAAUCCGAAGGUUGCAGGUUCGGUACCUGCCGGCGGCA
rnacentral:tRNA from 1 species